rfam:Amycolatopsis mediterranei S699, complete genome.
ACACGAGAGAGGAGGUGGUCCAAAGUUGUAUAUCGACAGGACUCGUGAGGUGGCUGUCCGCUAGCGGAUGGCACGUGGAGGACUUUGAGCAGCGCUACAGCUGAGCCACCUUCGGCUCAUCGCCUGCUCCACGUGAUGCCUGAUAGCGAAUACCAGGCAGUCACCGUGCCCCCGGGGUUUCCGAGCACCAGUCCGGCUCGGACUCAAGCGUUUGACGGCGCUUGAGAGGCACCCCGGGGGUUCCUUCAU